UGGGGAAUCUUGGACAAUGGGCGCAAGCCUGAUCCAGCCAUGCCGCGUGAGCGAUGAAGGCCUUAGGGUUGUAAAGCUCUUUCACCGGUGAAGAUAAUGACGGUAGCCGGAGAAGAAGCCCCGGCUAACUCCGUGCCAGCAGCCGCGGUAAUACGGAGGGGGCUAGCGUUGUUCGGAAUUACUGGGCGUAAAGCGCGCGUAGGCGGACUGAUCAGUCAGGGGUGAAAUCCCGGGGCUCAACCCCGGAACUGCCUUUGAUACUGUCAGUCUUGAGUCCGGAAGAGGCGAGUGGAAUACCGAGUGUAGAGGUGAAAUUCGUAGAUAUUCGGUGGAACACCAGUGGCGAAGGCGCCUAACUGGUCCGGUACUGACGCUGAGGAACGAAAAGCGUGGGGAGCAAACAGGAUUAGAUACCCUGGUAGUCCACGCCGUAAACGAUGAGUGCUAGUCGUCGGCAGGCAUGCCUGUCGGUGACGCAGCUAACGCAUUAAGCACUCCGCCUGGGAGUACGGCCGCAAGGUUAAAACUCAAAUGAAUUGAC
rnacentral:rRNA from 1 species